rnacentral:snRNA from 1 species
AUCGCUUCUCGGCCUUUUGGCUAAGAUCAAGUGUAGCUUAAGGCUCUUCUUUAUCUAGACGUCAGUAAAAUGACAAUGAUUCCAAGUAAAAAGCAGCAGAAUUUACAGUUUGCUUUGUUUUUGGACUCCCAUUGAUGUUCAUAACCAAACAGAACAUGCAAACGAACUUGU